rnacentral:rRNA from 1 species
UACGGGGGGGGCAAGCGUUGUUCGGAAUUACUGGGCGUAAAGGGCGCGUAGGCGGCCUGCUAAGUCGGAUGUGAAAUCCCUCGGCUCAACCGAGGAACUGCAUCCGAUACUGGCGGGCUUGAAUCCGGGAGAGGGAUGUGGAAUUCCAGGUGUAGCGGUGAAAUGCGUAGAUAUCGGGAGGAACACCUGUGGCGAAGGCGGCCCCCUGGUCGGAUACUGACGCUGAGACGCGAAAGCGUGGGGAGCGAACAGG